AUGACAGUCGUUACAGUCUUAAAUCUUUAAAUUACAACGAACUUGAAGAUGCAUUCAUAGAGUUAAUAGUUGUUUAAAUGAAAAAAUUGAUUAUAUUUUAAACAAUGAUUAUAUAGAGUCCAGCUGUCCAUUCAAUAAGAAAUUGAUUGAAACGUAACCUUUUGAAAAUUCCAGAACAUUCAUGACCAAUUGUAUAGCUCUUAUCUAGCAAUAUAUAUUGUUAGUAAAAUUUUAACUGAAACUCAGUCAGAAACGAUAUUAAAAAUAGCUACGGUAGAACAGGAUAAAAAAAAUUAAAUUUCAAUAAAACAAAAAGACAAAAUAGUUAACAUUCACAAUAAAUACAUGUGAUAAUAUGUGGAAAAUAGAAAUUCAAGUGAAUUAUUAAAAUAUUUAAAUCUUAAUAAAAACGGGGAUGUCAGAUUGAACUGAGUUCACGGACAAUUGUUCAACAACAUGGAAGAUAAUAUAAAUAAAUGGAUUUAAACGAAC